rnacentral:tRNA from 1 species
CCCUAGCCUUCCAAGCUAACGAUCGG